UACGUAGGGUGCGAGCGUUGUCCGGAAUUAUUGGGCGUAAAGAGCUCGUAGGCGGUCUGUCGCGUCGAUCGUGAAAACUUGGGGCUUAACCCUGAGCUUGCGGUCGAUACGGGCAUGACUGGAGUUCGGUAGGGGAGACUGGAAUUCCUGGUGUAGCGGUGAAAUGCGCAGAUAUCAGGAGGAACACCGGUGGCGAAGGCGGGUCUCUGGGCCGAUACUGACGCUGAGGAGCGAAAGCAUGGGUAGCGAACAGG
rnacentral:rRNA from 1 species